AUUGAACGCUGGCGGCAGGCCUAACACAUGCAAGUCGAACGAGUGGCGGAAGGGUGAGUAAUGUCUGGGAAACUGACUGAUGGCGGGCGAUAACUGAUGGCAACGGUAGCUAAUACCGCAUACCAUAAGAUGUUACCAGAUGGGAUUAGCUAGUUGGUGGGGUAACGGCUCACCAAGGCGACGAUCCCUAGCUGGGCUGAGUGGAUGACCAGCCACACUGGAACUGAGACACGGUCCAGACUCCUACGGGAGGCAGAAGUGGGGCAUAUUGCACAAUGGGCGCAAGCGUGAUUCAGCCAUGCCGCGUGUAUGAAGAAGGCCUUCGGGUUGUAAAGGACGUUCAGCGGGGAGGCGUUACCCGCAGAAGAAGCACCGGCUAACGCCGGGCCAGCAGCCGCGGUAAUAC
rnacentral:rRNA from 1 species